rnacentral:pre_miRNA from 1 species
CGGUUCCUCUUCAGGCUGCCUUGCUACUUAGAUCAAGCUGCCUGAUGAAGAGCUGUCC